UCCCAAACGUUGGAAGUGCGCCUGCGCAGAGCUCGCCGAGGCGCAGGCGCGCGGAAGAGCCCACCCAGUGCGCUUCAUGUGGCGCGAGUAACCAGGGGACGCUGCUGCGCGGGCAUGCCGGGACUUGUAGUUCUCCUGGAAGAGGCAGCCGCCUUGCAAUCGGUGCGCGGAGUCUGAGCGAGCCCAGCCUAGGGAUUCGGUUUCUUGUUGUGACUAUUGCCUGAGCCUUUCGGAGAGUUCGGUAUUGUUCGUAGAGCUAUGCUAGUCUGCUUAUAGAGUGAAUUGGGGGCCAUUUCUCCUGAGAUAGGCAGGUAGGUGAGACAGUAAUAUGAAACCGGCGUGCUGUUUCCCCCUGUCCCUGAGGUAUUCUAGUAUUUGAGGAAUUCUAAGUCGGAACUGGAGAUGCGCGCCUCACUAGAAGGUUUUACUUCGUGAGACAUUUAACGUAUUAACUUUUUACUUGGAAGACAGGAAACCGAAAGCCUUCUCCCCCUGUCUCUCCAGAGGUGGCCUGAGGAAAGAAGGCAUUCCCUGAGGAGAAACGGACCGGCGAGAGAGGCUCCGGAAGCCUCAAAACAGCCAUGCCUCGCUUAAUGACAGAUACAUGUUGAGAAGUGUGUGAUUCGGCAAUUUCCUCGUCGUGGAACAUCAUCACACAACGAAAUGGGCUACAAUGUCCCUGUGGGACCACCACCGUGUGUCUUGUCGGUCCUGGACAGAAACUUCGUUAGGUGGCGCAGGACUGUACUUGUUUAUGAAGUCGCCGCUUGACUGCACAGGGUGCACCUGCAGUUCCCUUUGGGGCAUAAUAGUUAACUAACGUUUAGGGUGAUCUCACUCUGUCGGUGCUCUCCAGAUCACCCAGAACUCCUCUGGGGCUGGACAAAUUGGGUUUAUUGACUCCUUGCAAGGAGGGAGGCACCUGUAGGAAACAGCAGGACAUCUCAGGGACAGUGUUAGAAAGGAUUUACAGUUUGGGCUUCUCAGGUAAUUUGUGGUAGAGUUCAGGAGGCUGGGCUUCUCUCCGAAUCGGAUGUUUAUUAGAAGCAUGGUACCAGCUAUAACCUCCUUGAACUGGCUACUUGAAAGAAGCCUUCCUUCAGCGAUAUCACUUCUUCUAAGAUACAGAAGCCAAAAUAUGGAGUCCACAAAAAAUAGUGAUAAAUCUGGAAACAGCCUACAGGGAUCUUCACUCUGGAUCAUUCUUUAUGUUUAGCACCACCCCAGAUCUUCAACUACCUAAUAGUAAGCUAAAGAUGAUAAUACUUCAAUUGAAUGCUAAAUUAUGUUUAAAGCCAAUAUUUUAUUGGCUUUAAAAUAUUCCAUAGUCUCUUCAUUUGACCUAUAAAAUAGCAGGCCUAUAGAGACUUUGACUUAAAACAAUAGUGACAGUACUUGAACUAGUACCCAGAUCUCAUGAUUCUUAGUCUAGUAUACUUUUCACUUGGUAAUACUUAGCUUACAGAAAAAAUAAUUAAGACAGAAACUCUAAUACACAUAGUAAUACACAUAAUAAUAAUAACUCUAAUACACAUAGUAAUACACAAAACUCUAAUACACAUACCAGACUUAUCCAACCAUUUGAGUACUUCAUUACAUAGGGGUCUUAAAAAGUUAGUUUUAGGGCUGGGUCUGGGGCUCAGCAGUAGAGCACUUGUCUAGCACGUGCAAGGCCCUGGGUUCAAUCCUCAGCACCACAUCUAAAUAAAUAAAAUAAAGGUAUUGUGUCCAGCUACAACUAAAAAAUAUAUAUAUUUUUUAAAAAGUUAGCUUUAGUGAGGAAAAGAAAGUCAUAGUAGGGUUGGGGUUGUGGCUCAGUGGUAGAGCACUUGACUAGCAUGUGUGAGGCACUGGGUUCAAUUCUCAGAACCACAUAUAAAUAAAUAAAUAGAAUAAAGGUCCGUUGACAACUAAAAAGUAUUUUAAAAAAGACAUAGUAUUUAUUAAUGAAAAGCAACUAGUAACUACAAAAUUAAAUUUAUAUUUGGGUUGAUGUAGUAGACUUCAGAAGGUGCAGUGAGUCUUCCCCUAAAGAAGUUUUGCAUAGGGUUAGCCUUUGAGAAAUAGAUUAAUAGGAAUAAAUUCUUAAUUAUCAAAUUUAGUAAUAUGUGAAAAUGAUAAAAUUGUCUUUAAAAAUGUGUCACUGAGGAGAUUCAGGAAUCACCAAUUCUAAGAAAGUUGCCCAGGAAAUACUAUAUUUCAUAGCAUCAUUAUGUUAAUAAUUCCCAAAUCUGUAUUUCCAAUCCAGACCUCUCCUCUGAGUUCUAGCCGCACAUAAUGCCUACUUUGAAUUUGGUUGUCUUACAGAGGUUUAAAAAGAAUUUUAUUAUUUUCCACAUUAAAUUUUCCUCACAUCAGUUAAUGGCAAUGUUCUCUGCUCAGUUGCUUGUAUUAGAAAUCCAGGAGUUACCCUCAAUUCUUUCCUUUCCUUUACCUUUGUCCUCUUUCCUUUCCUUUACCUUUGUCCUCCAAUCCAUUAUCGAGUAUUAAUAAAUCUGAAAUUCAAACAACUUAUCUCUGUCUUCAAUACUACUAGCCUAAUCUAAGUGAUUGUCAUAUUUUUCUUGGAUACUGUAAUAUUUUCCUUUUGUCCCUUCACAACACUUAUCACAGUUUGUUUAAUUUACUGAUCUGCUAUUUACUUGUGAUUUUCUUAAUCUUAUAUUACUACUAGACUAUACAGAAAUUCUUUGAGAAUAGGUACAGAGUCUGUCUUGUUCACUCUAAUAAUCCCAGCAUCUAGCAGAGGACCUAGCUCAUCAUAGGAAAUUAAUAAAUACUUUAGAAUAUUUGUUGAAUUAAUCAAUGAAAAUUUAAUAGUCCAGAAUUAUAGCAUGAUUCUUAUAGUGAAAUAGUUGAAGUUGAGGCCUUUAUUUAAUCAAACCUGGUAAAAUUGACUGAAACUACCUACCAUAAUUAAAAUCAAUUGUAUUAUAGUAUAUUUGAAAGUGUGUGUUGAAAUUAAAACUAUACACCUGGAAUCCAGAAAGAGAGGAAACACUCAGGAUUUGGUCAUGUUUUCCAUCCAGCAUGUUCAGGAUUGAGAAAUUAUGAACCCAAAGAAUAUUGUUAAGUUAGUUAUUAGAGAGGUACACUUAUUCUAGAGCAUAGAUCAUUUCUUAUGCUUUACCUGUGACCUGAAUUAAAUAGACCUUAAUAACAUCAACCUCCUUUUUUCUGAUCAUUCCCAAGUAGUGUUUUGAUUAUCAACUUAGAUUCCUUGGUACCUUCAUACUGGGAAAGAAAUGAUUUAGACAACAAACGUAAAUAUUCUUGUCACUGGAAAAAUGCAUUUCACAUUAGAACAUAAUUCUGUGAGGACAGAAAAUUGAUCAUCACAGUUACAUCCUCGCUCUUUAUAGAACUAUGCUGAGCACAAAGCAGAUUUUUUUUUUUUGGUGGGUACUAGGGAUUGAACCCAGGGCACUUAAUCACUGGGCCACAUCCCCCCAAAGUAGAUUCUUUAUAAGUACUUGGUGAAUGAAUGAAUGUGUAUUAGUAAAUUAGGAUUAUAUUUUAUACCACAGUCUCUUAUGCAUUUUUUAUUGUGAGUCAGUCUUCAAGUAUUUUUUAUUGUGAGUCAGUCUUCAAGUGUUCUGUACUACAUGCAUUAUGAAAAUUAGGUUUCUGAUUUUGGAGGCCAAAUAUGAGAUCCUGAACUCUGGUAUUCCACCUAAAGGUCCUUGAGAUUAUUUGGUUAGCCAGUUUACCACCUCCUUUGGUAUCUUGUAAUUCCAGUUCAUCCUCUUUAGCCUAUAAAGUUUUUUAAAUAAAAAGAAAUCUAAUUGUGUUGUUCUCCUGAUUAAAAAUCAAUUAAUUCUGUUACCUUCCGAAUAAUAGCUAGCCCAAGUCUCUCUCAAUGUCCACCUCCCCUUACAAUUUUACUAUCUAUCUUUCUUACCAUUCCCCAUUCACAGAUGCUAAGUUCUAGCUGCACUGUAUCCCUUAAUAUUUCAUGAACAUGCUGUGCUCCUUGAUUUUUUCCAUACUAUUUCCGCUGGCUAGAAUGUCUUUGCCUGCUUUUUCCAUCUGAUGAACUCCUAUCAUCCUUUAAAAUCCAGCUAGAUGUUACUUUUGAAGAACGCUUUGAUUUCAUUCUUGUUUUCUCUCUACUACUCUAUCACAGUCCUUACCAUAUCAUGGGUAGCUGUCUUUGAGGUCAUGGAGGGCAGGAUCUGUGUCUUACUCAACUUUCUGUGCUUUUCCAACACCUAGCACAUGUUUGUGAAAGCAAAACCUAUAUGAAGUGAGAGAUAGGAGCACUAAUAACUAACUUGCCAACAGACUUAGCUUCUUGAGCACAACCUCCUUCCCAAGGGAGGAUGGGAAAUUUCCCAGCUAUAUUCUGUUUGGAAUAAUAGAGUAUGAACACAGUCAGGAAAGAAAUGUGUUUUACAUAUUCCCUUUAUGAUUCACUAUAAAAGGAGGUAAUAACAUUCUUCUUGACAUCAGCAGGCUCUCAAAGGAGUGAUUCAUUGUACCUUGUACAUACUCAGUACUGUGGAUUGUCACUGUUUUUAAAAAUGUUUUGGAUUCUCACUAUUAAUUGCUAAUCUUUCCCCCUUGCUCUCGAAAGACAUUGUAAUAUCAACAUCCCGCACAGUGCCUAAUACUUAUUAGGAGCUCAAUAAAUGUUUAUUGAAAGACUUAUGAAUUAAUAAAACAAAAAUGAAACUU